ACGCUGGCGGCGUGCCUAAUACAUGCAAGUCGAACGAGUUCUCGUUGAUGAUCGGUGCUUGCACCGAGAUUCAACAUGGAACGAGUGGCGGACGGGUGAGUAACACGUGGGUAACCUGCCCUUAAGUGGGGGAUAACAUUUGGAAACAGAUGCUAAUACCGCAUAGAUCCAAGAACCGCAUGGUUCUUGGCUGAAAGAUGGCGUAAGCUAUCGCUUUUGGAUGGACCCGCGGCGUAUUAGCUAGUUGGUGAGGUAAUGGCUCACCAAGGCGAUGAUACGUAGCCGAACUGAGAGGUUGAUCGGCCACAUUGGGACUGAGACACGGCCCAAACUCCUACGGGAGGCAGCAGUAGGGAAUCUUCCACAAUGGACGCAAGUCUGAUGGAGCAACGCCGCGUGAGUGAAGAAGGCUUUCGGGUCGUAAAACUCUGUUGUUGGAGAAGAAUGGUCGGCAGAGUAACUGUUGUCGGCGUGACGGUAUCCAACCAGAAAGCCACGGCUAACUACGUGCCAGCAGCCGCGGUAAUACGUAGGUGGCAAGCGUUAUCCGGAUUUAUUGGGCGUAAAGCGAGCGCAGGCGGUUUUUUAAGUCUGAUGUGAAAGCCCUCGGCUUAACCGAGGAAGCGCAUCGGAAACUGGGAAACUUGAGUGCAGAAGAGGACAGUGGAACUCCAUGUGUAGCGGUGAAAUGCGUAGAUAUAUGGAAGAACACCAGUGGCGAAGGCGGCUGUCUGGUCUGUAACUGACGCUGAGGCUCGAAAGCAUGGGUAGCGAACAGGAUUAGAUACCCUGGUAGUCCAUGCCGUAAACGAUGAAUGCUAGGUGUUGGAGGGUUUCCGCCCUUCAGUGCCGCAGCUAACGCAUUAAGCAUUCCGCCUGGGGAGUACGACCGCAAGGUUGAAACUCAAAGGAAUUGACGGGGGCCCGCACAAGCGGUGGAGCAUGUGGUUUAAUUCGAAGCAACGCGAAGAACCUUACCAGGUCUUGACAUCUUUUGAUCACCUGAGAGAUCAGGUUUCCCCUUCGGGGGCAAAAUGACAGGUGGUGCAUGGUUGUCGUCAGCUCGUGUCGUGAGAUGUUGGGUUAAGUCCCGCAACGAGCGCAACCCUUAUGACUAGUUGCCAGCAUUUAGUUGGGCACUCUAGUAAGACUGCCGGUGACAAACCGGAGGAAGGUGGGGAUGACGUCAAAUCAUCAUGCCCCUUAUGACCUGGGCUACACACGUGCUACAAUGGAUGGUACAACGAGUUGCGAGACCGCGAGGUCAAGCUAAUCUCUUAAAGCCAUUCUCAGUUCGGACUGUAGGCUGCAACUCGCCUACACGAAGUCGGAAUCGCUAGUAAUCGCGGAUCAGCACGCCGCGGUGAAUACGUUCCCGGGCCUUGUACACACCGCCCGUCACACCAUGAGAGUUUGUAACACCCGAAGCCGGUGGCGUAACCCUUUUAGGGAGCGAGCCGUCUAAGGUGGGACAAAUGAUUAGGGGUGAAGUC
rnacentral:rRNA from 2 species